rnacentral:misc_RNA from 1 species
AAGUCGUAACAAGGUUUCCGUAGGUGAACCUGCGGAAGGAUCAUUAAGAAAAGCGAGUGCGGGAAAACGCGCUCUCAUUUCAAACCACUGUGAAAACGCACGUUGCUUCGGCAGCUCCACGGCCGCGAGGUCAUGGGUCAGCCUGUCGACAGCACCAAACCAAACCUUUUUGUAACAGCAGUCCGAUAACGAAAUACAAAUCGUUAAAA